UAAUACCGGAUAACAUGUUGAACCGCAUGGUUCAACAGUGAAAGACGGUCUUGCUGUCACUUAUAGAGGGAUCCGCGCUGCAUUAGCUAGUUGGUAAGGUAACGGCUUACCAAGGCAACGAUGCGUAGCCGACCUGAGAGGGUGAUUGGCCACACUGGAAAUGAGACACGGUCCAGACUCUUACGGGAGGCAGCAGUAGGGAAUCUUCCGCAAUGGGCGAAAGCCCGACGGAGCAACGCCGCGUGAGUGAAGAAGGUCUUCGGAUCGUAAAACUCUGUUAUUAGGGAAGAACAAAUGUGUAAGUAACUAUGCACGUCUUGACGGUACCUAAUCAGAAAGCCACGGCUAAAUACGUGCCAGCAGCCGCGGUAAUAUGUAGGUGGCAAGCGUUAUCUGGAAUUAUUGGGCGUAAAGCGCGCGUAGGCGGUUUUUUAAGUCUGAUGUGAAAGCCCACGGCUCAACCCUGGAGGGUCAUUGGAAACUGGAAAACUUGAGUGCAGAAGAGGAAAGUGGAAUUCCAUGUGUAGCGGUGAAAUGCGCAGAGAUAUGGAGGAACACCCCUGGCGAAGGGGACUUUCUGGUCUGUAACUGACGCUGAUGUGCGAAAGCGUGGGGAUCAAACAGGAUUAGAUACCCUGGUAGUCCACCCCGUAAACGAUGAGUGCUAAGUGUUAGGGGGUUUCCGCCCCUUAGUGCUGCAGCUAAGCGCAUUAA
rnacentral:rRNA from 1 species